rnacentral:rRNA from 1 species
AGGGCACCACCAGGAGUGGAGCCUGCGGCUUAAUUUAACUCAACACGGGAAAACUCACCCGGCCCGGACACUGGAAGGAUUGACAGAUUGAGAGCUCUUUCUUGAUUCAGUGGGUGGUGGUGCAUGGCCGUUCUUAGUUGGUGGAGUGAUUUGUCUGGUUAAUUCCGAUAACGAACGAGACUCUAGCCUACUAAAUAGAUCGUCGGCUUACAAACGCCGGCGAGACUUCUUAGAGGGACAGGCGGUGAUUCAACCGCACGAAACAGAGCAAUAACAGGUCUGUGAUGCCCUUAGAUGUCCGGGGCCGCACGCGCGCUACACUGAAGUGAUCAGCGUGCUUUUUCAACCUACUCUGUCAAGAGUGGGGAACCCAAUGAACCUUCUUCGUGAUUGGGAUAGGGGAUUGUAAUUAUUCCCCUUGAACGAGGAAUUCCCAGUAAGCGCGAGUCAUAAGCUCGCGUUGAUUACGUCCCUGCCCUUUGUACACACCGCCCGUCGCUACUACCGAUUGAAUGUUUU